AUGAACGCUGGCGGCGUGCUUAACCCAUGCCAGUCGCACGAUGAAGCCCAGCUUGCUGGGUGGAUUAGUGGCGAACGGGUGAGUAACACGUGAGUAACCUGCCCUUAACUCUGGGAUAAGCCUGGGAAACUGGGUCUAAUACCGGAUAGGAGCGUCCACCGCAUGGUGGGUGUUGGAAAGAUUUAUCGGUUUUGGAUGGACUCGCGGCCUAUCAGCUUGUUGGUGAGGUAAUGGCUCACCAAGGCGACGACGGGUAGCCGGCCUGAGAGGGUGACCGGCCACACUGGGACUGAGACACGGCCCAGACUCCUACGGGAGGCAGCAGUGGGGAAUAUUGCACAAUGGGCGCAAGCCUGAUGCAGCGACGCCGCGUGAGGGAUGACGGCCUUCGGGUUGUAAACCUCUUUCAGUAGGGAAGAAGCGAAAGUGACGGUACCUGCAGAAGAAGCACCGGCUAACUACGUG
rnacentral:rRNA from 1 species